rnacentral:rRNA from 1 species
UGAGACCUCAGGUCAGACGGGA